CUGCCCGUAGCUCAGUUGGAUAGAGCAUCUGCCUUCUAAGCAGAGGGUCGCGGGUUCGAUUCCUGCCGGGCAGGCCA
rnacentral:tRNA from 5 species